AACACAAAAAAGCUAAAGAAGUGAUUUGUUCAAUCUAGAUUUGAAAAUGCAUAGCUCCAGUGGCUUCUGAAUAUCAGUUGGCUGGUUUCAUAGUGCAGUACAACAGCCACUACGCAUUAUCAUCCGCUCACGAUAAUAAACAUAAAAUAUCGACUGUACAUUAUUUACUUUCAAUCUCACCCCCCACCCCCCUCCAUGUUAUAUGCCGAUUGUGACAUCGGCGUCGCGUCACGAGACGACGAAUCAAGGUCGACCUCCCACAGGGCAGCCGCAGCCCUUUCCUGUGCUGUGAGAACCGCCCACAGAAGGCGCCGCGGUGGCUAAGAGAUGUCAACUACCUCGCCUGGUUGAACCAGGUCAGGACCCAUCCAGACGAAAGCAUCUCUCCCUCAAUGGGGACCUGGGAUCACAAAGGCAAGUACGGUAAUACGAUAUCAACAAAGAUUCGGCAUCACGAACUUUGGAUUUAUCGGCAUUAUUUUACACGACGCUUUCGCCACGUAACCACUGCUCUCUCCGCUGAACCCAGAAAGCCCCGACGCUUAAGACGACGAGUGGCGGGUCUUAAGAUUCGCGGCGUGUCGCCUUUUUUGUUGUUGCUGCUGCCGCUCGCUGCACCUGCGGAGAUUUUUUUUCCAAGGUCGUCCCAGCGCGGUGUCAUCUCUCGCUCUGGCUCGCCGCGACAAAAUCAAUCUAAAAAAAUUUGAAAAAUAAAAUUACUACGCCGGCGUGGGGAAGCAAAGGCCAGGGGUGGGGGGGGGGGGGACUCUGUGCUGCGCUCCACUAAUCCCUGAAUGAAACAUUCCGCAAAUAUCAGGCGGGGCAUCGAACGCGCCAACCGAGAACGAGCUGUAGUCGAUCACGGUCGCCGCAGUGGCUCGGAGAUGUUAACUACCUUGCCUGGUAUGCAGGAGGUCGUGGUUUCGAUCCCGAACCUGACACCUG